UGGGGAAUAUUGCACAAUGGGCGCAAGCCUGAUGCAGCCAUGCCGCGUGUGUGAAGAAGGCCUUCGGGUUGUAAAGCACUUUCAGCGGGGAGGAAGGCGAUAAGGUUAAUAACCUUGUCGAUUGACGUUACCCGCAGAAGAAGCACCGGCUAACUCCGUGCCAGCAGCCGCGGUAAUACGUAGGUGGCAAGCGUUGUCCGGAUUUAUUGGGCGUAAAGCGAGCGCAGGCGGUUUCUUAAGUCUGAUGUGAAAGCCCCCGGCUCAACCGGGGAGGGUCAUUGGAAACUGGGAGACUUGAGUGCAGAAGAGGAGAGUGGAAUUCCAUGUGUAGCGGUGAAAUGCGUAGAUAUAUGGAGGAACACCAGUGGCGAAGGCGGCUCUCUGGUCUGUAACUGACGCUGAGGCUCGAAAGCGUGGGGAGCAAACAGG
rnacentral:rRNA from 1 species